rnacentral:rRNA from 1 species
CCUACGGGAGGCAGCAGUGAGGAAUAUUGGACAAUGGGCGAAAGCCUGAUCCAGCCAUGCCGCGUGUGUGAAGAAGGUCUUCGGAUUGUAAAGCACUUUAAGUUGGGAGGAAGGGCAUUAACCUAAUACGUUAGUGUUUUGACGUUACCGACAGAAUAAGCACCGGCUAACUUCGUGCCAGCAGCCGCGGUAAUA